rnacentral:tRNA from 1 species
UCCCUGGUGGUUCAGUGGCUGAGAUUCUGUGCUCCCAAGGCAGGGAGCCUGGGUUCGAUCCCUGGUCAGGGAA